CCAUGAAACUUAAAAUUUAUCGAUGAAUAUAAUUCUAGUUGAGAAUAGUAAAGAAAAUAUUGUAUCAACUUGUUGCCCUUCAUGUUUUUUGAUUAAGGUAGACCACUAUUAAAAAUCAAAAAAAUCGUUUUUUCAAUUAUAAUUUGUUUAAGUAAUAUAGAGUACAACAGGGUAAAAUGAAAUAGCCGAUAGAAUGAAAUAGUUAUGACAAUGUUUAUUCUUUCGCUCUUAAUUAACUAUUGAAUAACUUUUUGCAAAUAUUUUUUGAUUAUAUUGAAGAGAAUAUUUUCUGGGUAAGGAUUGCAUAAAAUUUUAUUUUUAAUAAAAAAAAUAUUUGUUAUAAAUUUAGCAGUUUUCGAAUGCGUAUUAAGAUUUUAUUUCUUUAAAAAGCGAACUUUAAACUCUCGGAAAUUAAUGUUUACUGGUACAGCUUUUUACGCUGAUCAAAAAAUUAAACUUGCUACUUAAUAAAAAAAUUUAUGAGUUAAAAACGGCAAAGGGAGUGUUGUGGGAUUGAAUGAAAUACGGUAAUAAAUAAAUAAAUACAAACAAUAACUUAUUUCUUAAAAGUGGCUUUUUUUUAUUAUGUCUCAAAUGACCAAUAAAUCUACAACUAUAAAUUUUUGUAUAAAUUUCAAUGAACGAAUUUUCCUAACUGAAUUUAAAUGACUUUUACUUACUGCUUUUAUAAAAUGGUUCUAAUAAAUGAAUGAAAUACGAUAGUUACUCUCUUGUUACCUUCUUCUUACUCUCGGUCACCUUGUCUGCAAACAACCUUCAAUAUUAUUGUAAUAACUCCGGCUAUUCAAAAGGAAAUACAAAAAACGGUUGCAAAACAACUGCAAUCAGCCCAAUCACUUGCAGCAGCUUUGCAACAAAUAUUUCGUAUCCAACACGUUGACACACAAAAAAAGAAAAAAUUUAGAUGUGCCAAGAUUCGAAGGGGAGUGUCUCAACAAACCUGAAAUACUUGAAAGGUUAAGAGUUGCUGAGAGCAAAAAAGCAGCAAAGCAAGCUAAAAAAUAACAUAAGUUUAUCUCUAAUGGAGAACAGCAAAUAAACCAAACAACAAUUCCAACGAAAAUAUUAGCUGCAAACCAAUUUAAGUGUAAAAAGUGCCGAAAUGUUUUGGGCGAAACUUUAGCAAGUCAAAAUAUGGAAUAGUGCCAGUGUGAAAAUUCAAAUUGCAAGGUUUGGCUAUGUCAAACAUCCCAGUUUUAUGCAUACCAAAGCGAUACGUAAAAGGCGCUGAGUUUUAUUGCACCAAAAAGUGCUGCACAAGUAAAAACUCAACCUCUAGUACCUCUAAACGACUCAACAUCAUCACAAGAAUAAAAAAGCUUAUUUUGUUUGAUUGAUUUUAUUUAUUGUUAUUAUUGAUUGUUUUUUUAA